GGCCAGGUGGGGGAGGGGAGGCGCACCCAGCCCCGUCCUCCUGCCCCGUCUGCGGGAGAACCUGAGGCCGGCCCUCCCCAAACUCUGUCUUCCUUUGCCAGCUGCUGCCAACCCAUGGGGAGAAGAACCGAGGCCACAGAAAUCAUGUCCCCUGCGGCUCCACUGGGACUGAUGAGCUGUCCCCGUCCCUCGCCCCUGCCUGCAUUUGCUCCAGCUGCGGCCCUGGGCAGAUUGGUUUUCUGGCUCCAGGAAUGGGUUCAGAUGAUAUCUGCCCUUCCGGUCCCCCGUCCCUACUCUCCACUCGCCCGGCCGGGUGGAGCCCAGGUUUGAGAACCGCAAGUCCAGCCCCUCCUGGCAGCCAGCCCUCUCGUCCAGGCUUGUCAUCUGCAGCCUGCGUCCCGUCUCCCAGCAGCUGUGCACUGAGUCUGUGGGGUGUGAGCUCACUUCACCUGAGAGCUGCAGGUACCAGGGG